rnacentral:rRNA from 1 species
GGCUCAUUAUAACAGCUAUAAUUUACUUGAUCUUGACACAAUCCUACUUGGAUAACUGUGGUAAUUCUAGAGCUAAUACAUGCAUUAAAGCUCUGACCUCACGGGAAGAGUGCAUUUAUUAGAACAAAACCAAGCGGCUUCGGCUGUUUCUGGUUGACUCAUAGUAACUGAGCUGAUCGCAUGGUCUUGCACCGGCGACGUGUCUUUCAAGUAUCUGCCGUAUCAACUUUCGAUGGUAGUGUAUCUGACUACCAUGGUGAUCACGCGUAACGGAGAAUAAGGGUUCGGCUCCGGAGAGUUCGCCUGAGAAAUCGCGAACACAUCUAAGGAAGGCAGCAGGCGCGAAAAUUACCCACUCUCAGCACGAGGAGGUAGUGACGAAAAAUAACGAGACCGUUCUCUUAUGAGGCCGGUCAUCGGAAUGGGUACAAUUUAAACCCUUUAACGAGUAUCUAUGAGAGGGCAAGUCUGGUGCCAGCAGCCGCGGUAAUUCCAGCU